rnacentral:rRNA from 1 species
GCGGCCUAUCAGCUUGUUGGUGAGGUAAAGGCUCACCAAGGCUACGACGGGUAACCGGCCUGAGAGGGCGACCGGUCACACUGGGACUGAGACACGGCCCAGACUCCUACGGGAGGCAGCAGUGGGGAAUAUUGCGCAAUGGGCGAAAGCCUGACGCAGCGACGCCGCGUGAGGGAUGAAGGUCUUCGGAUUGUAAACCUCUUUCAGCAGGGACGAAGCGAAAGUGACGGUACCUGCAGAAGAAGCACCGGCUAACUACGUGCCAGCAGCCGCGGUAAUACGUAGGGUGCAAGCGUUGUCCGGAUUUAUUGGGCGUAAAGAGCUCGUAGGCGGUUAGACACGUCGGAUGUGAAAACUCGGGGCUCAACCCCGAGCCUGCAUUCGAUACGGUCUGACUUGAGUGUGGUAGGGGAGACUGGAAUUCCU